rnacentral:misc_RNA from 1 species
UACGGAGGGUGCAAGCGUUGUCCGGAUUUAUUGGGUUUAAAGGGUGCGUAGGCGGCCCGUUAAGUCAGCGGUGAAAUCCCAGGGCUCAACCCUGGAACUGCCGUUGAUACUGGCGGGCUUGAGUUCGGUCGAGGCGGGCGGAACUGGUGGGGGAGCGGUGAGAUGCUUAGAUACAACCAAGAACCCCGAUUGCGUAGGCAGCUCGCUGGGCCGAAACUGACGCUGAGGCACGAAAGCGUGGGGAGCGAACGGG